rnacentral:rRNA from 1 species
AUACGGAGGGUGCAAGCGUUAUCCGGAUUUAUUGGGUUUAAAGGGUGCGUAGGCGGUUAUUUAAGUCAGUGGGGAAAGUUUUCGGCUCAAACGGAAAAUUGCCAUUGAUAAUGGGUAGCUAGAAUAUGGUUGCUGUGCGUAGAAUGUGUGGUGUAGCGGUGAAAUGCAUAGAUAUCACACAGAAUACCGAUUGCGAAGGCAUCUCACAAAGCCAUCAUUGACGCUUAGGCACGAAAGUGUGUGGAUCAAACAGGAUUAGAUACCCUGGUAGUCCACACUGUAAACGAUGAUAACUAGCUGUUGGCGAUACAGAGUCAGUGGCCAAGCGAAAGCGAUAAGUUAUCCACCUGGGGAGUACGACCGCAAGGCUUAAACUCAAAUGAAUUGACGGGG